GCCCCCAUCGUCUAGAGGCCCAGGACACCGCCCUUUCAAGGCGGCGGCACGGGUUCGAAUCCCGUUGGGGGCACCG
rnacentral:tRNA from 1 species